rnacentral:rRNA from 1 species
GAUGAACGCUGGCGGCGUGCUUAACACAUGCAAGUCGAACGGAAAGGCCCAAGCUUGCUUGGGUACUCGAGUGGCGAACGGGUGAGUAACACGUGGGUGAUCUGCUCUUCACUUCGGGAUAAGCCUGGGAAACUGGGUCUAAUACCGGAUAGGACGAUGGUUUGGAUGCCAUUGUGGAAAGUUUUUUCGGUGUGGGAUGAGCUCGCGGCCUAUCAGCUUGUUGGUGGGGUAAUGGCCUACCAAGGCGUCGACGGGUAGCCGGCCUGAGAGGGUGUACGGCCAAAUUGGGAAUGAGAUACGGCCCAGACUCCUACGGGAGGCAGCAGUGGGGAAUAUUGCACAAUGGGCGCAAGCCUGAGGCAGCGACGCCGCGUGGGGGAUGACGGCCUUCGGGUUGUAAACUCCUGUCGCUAGGGACGAAGCGUUUUUGUGACGGUACCUGGAGAAGAAGCACCGGCUAACUACGUG